AGUGAACGCUGGCGGUAGGCCUAACACAUGCAAGUCGAACGGCAGCACAGUAAGAGCUUGCUCUUACGGGUGGCGAAUCGCGGACGGAUGAGGAAUAUAUCGGACUCUACUUUUUCGGGGGGGAUAACGUAGGGAAACUUACUCUAAUACCGCAUCCGACCUACGGUUGAGAGCGUUGGAUCUUCGGACCUUGCGCGAUUGGAUGAGCCGAUGUCGGAUUAGAUGGUUGGCGGGGUAAAGGCCCACCAAGGCGACGAUUCGUAGCUGGUGUGAGAGGAUGGUCGGCGGCACGGGAAGGGAGACACGGACCAGACUCCUACGGGAGGCACCAGUGGGGAAUAUUGGACAACGGGGGCAAACAUGAUACAGCGAUCCCGAGCGGGUUGAGGAGGCGCUGCGGUUGUAAAGACCUCUUUUUGGGAAAGAAAAGCAGCAGGUUAAGACGCCGCGGGUGUGACGGUACCCAAAGAAUAAGCACCGGCUAACUUCGUG
rnacentral:rRNA from 1 species